GACGAACCGUGCGAACGUUGUUCGGAAUCACUGGGCUUAAAGGGCGCGUAGGCGGACCGCCAAGUCCGAGGUGAAAUCCUCCAGCUCAACUGGAGAACUGCCUCGGAUACUGGAGGUCUCGAGGGAGGUAGGGGCAAGCGGAACUGUGGGUGGAGCGGUGAAAUGCGUUGAUAUCCACAGGAACUCCGGUGGCGAAGGCGGCUUGCUGGACCUUUCUG
rnacentral:rRNA from 1 species